rnacentral:rRNA from 1 species
CGGGACGGGUGAGUAAUGUCUGGGAAACUGCCUGAUGGAGGGGGAUAACUACUGGAAACGGUAGCUAAUACCGCAUAACGUCGCAAGACCAAAGAGGGGGACCUUGGGCCUCUUGCCAUCGGAUGUGCCCAGAUGGGAUUAGCUAGUAGGUGGGGUAACGGCUCACCUAGGCGACGAUCCCUAGCUGGUCUGAGAGGAUGACCAGCCACACUGGAACUGAGACAUGGUCCAG